UCAGACCAGGACAGAAGUUAAAAAGCCGGGUCGAAAACGCAACACCCAAAGAAGAGUAAUCUGAACUAACUAAAAAGGCCGCGCAUGCGGCCUUUUUCUUUUCCUGGUGGCGUAACCACCGUAAAAUCUAACGCUUUUCCACGGGCUUACGGAUAAC
rnacentral:sRNA from 1 species